CCCAUCCUUCUAUGUAGCAACCUUGGCUUCAUUAAUCAUUAGUAUCGAUUUGACAUGUCGUCUUGACGUACUAGCGUAGCCACAUCUCUGACAAAAACAUAGCAAAACCAAAACUAUACACAAAGACGAAGAUGUAACUCUUGUUUCAAACUAGUGUGUAGAUAGUAGACACUAAUUUGUGUGGGCGCGCGACUAAGUAGUCAUGUUUCCAGUGGCUGAAGACCUCGCUGUAAUUGUCCUGUGUAUAGACUGUGUUGAAGCACAUCGUACAGCAUAAGCUCGAUUUCAAUUCGAUUUCUCAGUUUCCGACGCUAUCGUGCCAUAAUUGGUGAAUUUCGUGUUUCUACUUCCUUAUUGUGCAAAUAUGUAGUAUGAAUGCUGCGGCACAUUAAAGAUCUACGCAAGAGACUACCUUUUCUUCUCGAGUACUUGUGGUAUGGGGCCUGAAAGUGCGAUGCCGAUGUAUAAAAAUGUAACCCCUAAAACCGCAUAAGCGGCUAAAUAUUGUGAUGUGAAGACUGUGACAAUAUACAUGAGAUUAAAAACUUAGGUAAUUAACAUACGGUUUUGAAUUUCGUGUGGGAAGAAUCAUUUGUUCUAAAGGCGAAAGGAAGUUUUCACUGUCUUUCACCAGAAAGCAGAAAAAUCAGGACGAGUAAUUGUUGGAGUUAGAAAUUGAAAUGUACUGUACAUUUCAAAUUCUGUGAGGUGGAAUGCGUGACGACAUGGUUACGAUAUUGUAUAUAGUUGAAACAGGGGUAUCUCCCAUCUUGAUGGUAUCAUUGGUCAAAGCAGCAACCGGCCCAGCGUGGUCCGUGCUAACUCCACCACAUCUCACCGUCGCCACGCCAUCCACUGGGUGUCGGUGCUGACACCGCUGACUCCAUUGUGGUGGUUGACAUGCACCAUGUUGCUGACCUUGCCAACAUUGCUGCAACUCUCCACCCAGUGCUGGAAAGGCAAAUGUGGAAGAUGGCAUUCCGGCCAGUAGACAACCAUGCCAAUGGUGACGUCAGGGCACCUAUGAAAUUAGGUAGUGUUUACCGGGUAGCCCCAUAUCCACAAUCUCUGUGUAUACAAGUCACAGACAGUGCAGUAUGGCUUAGAGAAGAUGCCUAAAAUACUCACUGAGAUGUAUCCUGAAGAUGUAUCCUGAAGACCAGGGCAGGGCCGACCACGUGUGACGUCAGAAGAGCGGACUGUUUUUUGGCUUUAAGGGCACAACAGUAUCAUCUUAGUACUGCACAGUGACUGGCAUGUGAGCUCGCACCAUCCACUAGACGUGUUGUAGCAAGGAAAACAUUGUGCGGAAGGCUUCAGCAGAGUAGCCUUUGUCAGAGACCUACUGUAUGUCUACCUCUUACACGUCUUCACAGAAGGGAUUGUCUAGAGUGGCAUCAUCAACAUGCCAUGUGGACGGUAGAACAAAGGACCGAUGUUGUUCACACAGAUAAGUCCCACUUUAGUCUGGUGAGUGAUUCACAAUGAAGUCACAUCUGAAGGGAACAUGGAACACUAUUUCGGGACCCAAACAUUGUGGAAAGAGACCGAUAUCGAGGAUCCAUAAUGGUGUGGGCAGGGAUUGUUGACCACUCGAACACCUCUUCAUGAAACUGUGCAGGGGAAUCGGAAAGGUUUAACUUGACUCCUGUCAGGUAUCAUGAUGAGAUCUUGGGACUUUACCUGUGGUGGUUGUGAGGUGCUGUGGGCCUAGACUUUGUAUUGUUGGGCAGUAAUGCUUGACCUCAUAGAGCACAGGUGGUUGAUGAUAUUUUCUUGUGAAUGAAAGGUAUUGCACACAUGGUGUGGCCUACUUGCUCUCCCAAUUUGAAUUGCAUAGAACAUGUCUGGGAUACACUAAGGAGACUGCGUCUGCUGAUACCUUGCCUUAAUAAACAAAUCGAAGAGUGGUACAUGCAAUUAUGAAGAAAGACUUGGGAUUUUAUGUCUAAUAAAUAUUAAUUGUAUGUGUGUAAAUUGGUUGUAAUGGUACACAAUAAAUUUUUAACUACUAA